rnacentral:tRNA from 1 species
GUGGCGGGCGCGGCGGCGGCCACGGUGGCGACUGCCGCUCGCCGGGGCGGCGUUCGGGGCGGCGCUGGCCACG